rnacentral:snRNA from 1 species
GUGAGGGCCAUCUGGCUGUGAUAUCUGUCACCCCAUUGAUCACCAGGGUUGAUUCGGCUGAUCUGGCUGGCUAGGCGGGUGUCUCCUUCCUCCCUCACCACUCCGUGUGCAUCCCUCCCGAAGCUGUGCACUCGGUUGAAAAGAACCGCCUUCCCCAAAUAGAGACUGACCGGUAUUCCAUGGAGGGUAUACAAGUAGCUGCACUCCCCCUGCUAGAAUCUCCAAACAAGCUAGUAAGUCUAUCUCUAGUAAUUGUUACUUCUUGCUUACUAUGUUCUAUCCAUAUAGUAUCAGAAAUGUAAUG